rnacentral:snRNA from 1 species
AUCGCUUCUCGGCCUUUUGGCUAAGAUCAUGUGUAGUAUCUGUUCUUUUCAGAAUAAUAUCUGAAAUGCUGCUCAUCGAGCAGCAAGUAUAUUAAUCUGAUUUUUGGAUGAUCGGCCAUGGAAUAGGGGCUUGCCGUCCUGGCCACGGGUUGGCCCGGUUUGCACUACUGCCGGGAUCGGCCACACUCCC